UACGUAGGUGGCAAGCGUUGUCCGGAUUUACUGGGCGUAAAGGGAGCGUAGGCGGAUUUUUAAGUGGGAUGUGAAAUACCCGGGCUUAACCUGGGUGCUGCAUUCCAAACUGGAAGUCUAGAGUACAGGAGGGAAAAGCGGAAUUCCUAGUGUAGCGGUGAAAUGUGUAGAGAUUAGGAAGAACACCAGUGGCGAAGGCGGCUUUCUGGACUGUAACUGACGCUGAGGCUCGAAAGCGUGGGGAGCGAACAGGAUUAGAUACCCUGGUAGUCCCUGAGCGGG
rnacentral:rRNA from 1 species